GUCUGUGCCUUGGUUUCCAUGUUUACCACCAGGAAUAUCCAUGGUGGCUGCUUACUUGGCUUGUUGGGAACCUCUGUUGCAGAGUCAAAGUGAGCCAUGCCCUCACGCUUAUGCAGAUAAGCCAACAUGCCCAUUUUUGAAUCCAGAGUUCAGCAAUUCGAGAAUGAAAAAAAUUAUCUGGUCAGCGUGAGAUUGUGAACAAUGGCUUACUCAUCUCGUACUGCUCCUCUCCAGUAGAGUGAAUUUAUGGACUCAAGUGUGUGCAAUAAAUGUUUAUUGGACGAAUAAACGUUGAAACCUACAUGCAU
rnacentral:lncRNA from 1 species